rnacentral:rRNA from 1 species
GAUGAACGCUAGCUACAGGCUUAACACAUGCAAGUCGAGGGGCAGCGGUAUCGGAAGCUUGCUUUCGGUAGCCGGCGACCGGCGCACGGGUGAGUAACGCGUAUCGAACCUGCCUCAUACUCGGGCAUAGCCUUGCGAAAGUAAGAUUAAUGCCCGGUGUUUUCAGAGUCCCGCAUGAGGCUUUGAACAAAGAUUUAUCGGUAUGAGAUGGCGAUGCGUCCCAUUAGCUUGUUGGCGGGGUAACGGCCCACCAAGGCAUCGAUGGGUAGGGGUUCUGAGAGGAAGGUCCCCCACAUUGGAACUGAGACACGGUCCAAACUCCUACGGGAGGCAGCAGUGAGGAAUAUUGGUCAAUGGGCGGAAGCCUGAACCAGCCAAGUAGCGUGCAGGAAGACGGCCCUCCGGGUUGUAAACUGCUUUUAGUUGGGAAUAAAACGGGGCUCGUGAGCCCCCUUGCAUGUACCAUCAGAAAAAGGACCGGCUAAUUCCGUGCCAGCAGCCGCAGUAACAC